UAAAUAUAAUAAUUGAAUUUAUUUGUUCUCUUUUCUUCCCAUAAUGACAGGUGAGGCUGUGCCUCACCUGCCUCUCCUGACUGCACGUCACUGGUUGAGUCGAUGCCAAAGAGCUCAGUUUUGAGCCAAACAUUCCAUUAUGCAGAAUAAAAUGAUAAAGCAAACCCUAUUUUUCAGUGUGUGAUUUUCAUUUUUUCAUAAAUCUUAGGACAAUUUAGAUGAUAAAAGUAACAAAUAUAUGAAAACAGUAUAAUACAGUAAAUAUGUAAAUAUUUGAUGUGAUGAACAAUGUUUAUCUGAUUUAGACCCAACAUGAAAUAUUUUUUGACACACACAAAUCAAGUUGUGUUAUUUACUGCUCGUAAUUUAGACACAAAUGAUAGAAAUGUUAGGUUUAUAUGCCAAAGAGGCCAUGUGAAAAUUUUAGUGCAAAUACGCAUGCGUGCGCGCCGUGCACAUAAAGCCACCCCACCCCCACGUGUCCGCGCGCCGGUCGGGGGGUGUUGGGCGUCAAUAAAGGUAAUCUGGUUGUCGCGCUUUCUGCAUCUCUGCGCGAGCUAAAGAAGUCUCAAAGAUGAAUGCAGCUGUUGUUGUUAUUACUGUGUGACGGAGGAGCGGUGCUGAAAAAUACGGCCUCCAGUCCAUCGAGAGACUGAACGUAACACGACUGCAGGCUGACUCUGCCACGAGGCUCGACAACUUCUUGCAUCAACUGUGAUCGCUGUGGCCGCCAAAACAUCCAAAUGUAAGGCGGGCUACAAAGAUUUCAGGCCAAAAGAGAACGCCUCACAUGUGAUGAAGUGUCUGUAUUGGUUGGAAAAACCAGCAGCCUUCCAGUGCUUCAGCCGUCCAACCAUCAACCGUUUCAGACAUCCAUCCUCCCAUCACUUCAGCCCCACAGCCGUCCACCAGUGUGCCAACUUCUGACAUUUUACUAUCCUGGGGGGGGUCAUGGCCUCUACGCUGGAUCCCAAAAAAGAGACAAAAAAACCCCGACCUCAACCCCCACUCUUAGUCAGACAUGUUUAUUUUUUUAUUUACAAUAAUAAAUAAUAUACUAUGUACAUUUA